GUGGUUCUCAUUUCAGUAACACAUAUACUAAAAUUGGACCAACACAGAGAAAAUUAACAUGGCCUUUGUGCCAUGACACACAAAUUUCUGAAGUAUUCCAUAUUUUU
ensembl:snRNA U6 U6 spliceosomal RNA